UGCAGUCGAACGAGUUCUGAUUAUUGAAAGGUGCUUGCAUCUUGAUUUAAUUUUGAACGAGUGGCGGACGGGUGAGUAACACGUGGGUAACCUGCCCUUAAGUGGGGGAUAACAUUUGGAAACAGAUGCUAAUACCGCAUAAAUCCAAGAACCGCAUGGUUCUUGGCUGAAAGAUGGCGUAAGCUAUCGCUUUUGGAUGGACCCGCGGCGUAUUAGCUAGUUGGUGAGGUAACGGCUCACCAAGGCAAUGAUACGUAGCCGAACUGAGAGGUUGAUCGGCCACAAUGGGACUGAGACACGGCCCAAACUCCUACGGGAGGCAGCAGUAGGGAAUCUUCCACAAUGGACGCAAGUCUGAUGGAGCAACGCCGCGUGAGUGAAGAAGGCUUUCGGGUCGUAAAUCUCUGUUGUUGGAGAAGAAUGGUCGGCAGAGUAACUGUUGUCGGCGUGACGGUAUCCAACCAGAAAGCCACGGCUAACUACGUGCCAGCAGCCGCGGUAAUACGUAGGUGGCAAGCGUUAUCCGGAAUUUUUGGGCGUAAAGCGAGCGCAGGCGGAUUUUAAAGUCUGAUGUGAAAGCCCUCGGCUUAACCGAGGAAGUGCAUCGGAAACUGGGAAACUUGAGUGCAGAAGAGGACAAUGGAACUCCAUGUGUAGCGGUGAAAUGCGUAGAUAUAUGGAAGAACACCAGUGGCGAAGGCGGCUGUCUGGUCUGUAACUGACGCUGAGGCUCGAAAGCAUGGGUAGCGAACAGGAUUAGAUACCCUGGUAGUCCAUGCCGUAAACGAUGAAUGCUAGGUGUUGGAGGGUUACCGCCCUUCAGUGCCGCAGCUAACGCAUUAAGCAUUCCGCCUGGGGAGUACGACCGCAAGGUUGAAACUCAAAGGAAUUGACGGGGGCCCGCACAAGCGGUGGAGCAUGUGGUUUAAUUCGAAGCAACGCGAAGAACC
rnacentral:rRNA from 2 species